rnacentral:rRNA from 1 species
GACGGAGGAUGCAAGUGUUAUCCGGAAUCACUGGGCGUAAAGCGUCUGUAGGUGGUUUAAUAAGUCAACUGUUAAAUCUUGAGGCUCAACCUCAAAAUCGCAGUCGAAACUAUUAGACUAGAGUAUAGUAGGGGUAAAGGGAAUUUCCAGUGGAGCGGUGAAAUGCGUAGAGAUUGGAAAGAACACCGAUGGCGAAGGCACUUUACUGGGCUAUUACUAACACUCAGAGACGAAAGCUAGGGUAGCAAAUGGG